rnacentral:rRNA from 1 species
CUACGUGCCAGCAGCCGCGGUAAUACGUAGGUGGCAAGCGUUGUCCGGAAUUAUUGGGCGUAAAGCGCGCGCAGGCGGAUCAGUCAGUCUGUCUUAAAAGUUCGGGGCUUAACCCCGUGAUGGGAUGGAAACUGCUGAUCUAGAGUAUCGGAGAGGAAAGUGGAAUUCCUAGUGUAGCGGUGAAAUGCGUAGAUAUUAGGAAGAACACCAGUGGCGAAGGCGACUUUCUGGACGAAAACUGACGCUGAGGCGCGAAAGCCAGGGGAGCGAACGGGAUUAGAUACCCCGGUAGUCCUGGCCGUAAACGAUGGGUACUAGGUGUAGGAGGUAUCGACCCCUUCUGUGCCGGAGUUAACGCAAUAAGUACCCCGCCUGGGGAGUACGACCGCAAGGUUGAAACUCAAAGGAAUUGACGGGGGCCCGCACAAGCGGUGGAGUAUGUGGUUUAAUUCGACGCAACGCGAAGAACCUUACCAGGUCUUGACAUUGAKGACAGAACUAGAGAUAG